rnacentral:lncRNA from 1 species
CCCACCUUCAAUCUUUCCCAGCAUCAGGGUCCUUUCAAAUGAGUCAGUUCUUCUCAUCAGGUGGCCAAAGUAUUGGAGUUUCAGCUUCAGCACUAGUCCUUCCGAUGAAUAUUCAGGACUGACUUCCUUUAGGGUGGACUAGUUGGAUCUCCUUGCUGUCCAGGGCACUCUCAAGAGUCUUCUCUAACACCACAGUUCAGAAACAUCAGUUCUUUGGCACUCAGCUUUCUUUAUAGUUCAACUCUCACAUCUGUAUGUGACUACUGGAAAAACUAUAGCUUUGACUAGAUGUACCUUUCUUGGCAAAGUAGUGUCUUUGCUUUUUAAUAUGCUGUCUAGGUUGGUCAUAACUUUUCUUCCAAGGAGCAAGUGUCUUUCAAUUUCAUGGCUGCAGUCACCAUCUGCAGUGAUUUUGGAGCCCCCCCAAAUAAAGUCUGUCACUGUUUCCACUGUUUCCCCAUCUAUUUGGCAUGAAGUGAUGGGACCAGAUGCCAUGAUUUUAGUUUUCUGAAUGUUGAGUUUUAAGCCAACUUUUUCACUCUCCUCUUUCACUUUCAUCAACAGGCUCUUUCUGUUAAUCCUGAACUUCUAUUCUCCUAUCUGCUUUGGUAAUCAUAAGUGUUUUCUAUGUCUGUCUGUUUCUGUUUUGUAAAUAACUUCAUUUGUAUCAUUUUAAAAUAUUCCACAUAUAAAUGAUAUCAUUUAAUCUCUGGAUCCAUCUGUGUUGCUGCAAAUGGCAUUAUUCCAUUCUUUUUUAUGACUAAUAUUCAAUUGUAUAUAUAGACCACAUCUGUAUCCAUUCAUCUGUCAAUGGACAUUUAAGUUGCUUCCAUGUCUUGGCUGUUGUGAAUGGUGCUGCUGUGAACAUUGGGGUGCAUGUAUCUUUUCGAAUUAGAGUUUUCUCUGAAUAUAUGCCCAGGAGUGGGAUUGCUCCAUCAUAUGGUAACACUGUUGUUAGUUUAUUUAAGGAACCUCCAUUCUAUUCUCCACAGUUGCUGCAGCAAUUUACAUUCCCACCAACAGUGUAGGACGAUUCACUCGUACUGCCAUUGGACCAAAAUGUUUCUGAUGUCAACCUCUUCAGAGAUAAACAGUGGGCAGAACUUCUUAACCCAGUGGAUGGCGAAUCCUUCUCGGGCUGGGGUCAUAUUAAAUCGUGGAUUUCCUAUUUUAGAAGCAGAGGAAGAGAAGCCAGCAAAUGUGAACUUUUCUACCAGCUUUCCUAUUAAAGCUACAAAAUUUUCAAAUAGUUUAAGCUUUAUAAGGGAAGAAGAUUCACUUCAUGAAGAACAGAAAUUGGAGCCUAACAGCCCGUACAAGUUACAGUCAGAUAAAUCUGAACCACAGAGAGUCUUUCCUUUAACUAAAGAGGGGCCACAGCUAGUGGCACAUCAGGAUGUUCCUGGACAAUGGGAAGAUAGCAAAAAUGAGUUUAUCACAGAUCUUUUGAGUGAAUUCAAAGAAGUGCCUUAUAAAGACCCACUUGUUAAAAAGCUUGAACAGCUGAAAGAAGAGCAACAGAAGAAGCAGGAGCAGCUGAAGAGGCGACAGCUCGAGCAGUUGCAGAGGCUCAUGGGUGAGCAGGAGGAGCUACUCUCCUUGGUGUCUGGGCAGCAGACACUUCCAGGUUUAACUCCACUGCCUGAUGACCAGAGCCAGAAAAAGUACAGACCUCUGGGAAAUUCAACCACUGUAGAGAAAACCAUGCCCUUCUUGCCAUCAUAUAUCUACCAGAAUCAAAGCCAAGAAAAAAAACACCCUUCUAACAUUUUAUCCAGUGAACAAAACGACUUCUGUAGAACUACUCAUCAGGAUUUUGUUUUAACUUCAAGAAGUGGUGCUUCUCCCAGUGUGUUUUAUGAGGCACAGUGUCAGGAAGCACUUGUGAAAAAAAAUGAUUUGAAGGAAGAAAACGAUAACUAUUCUAAAGGAGAAGGUAUUUUACCAUGUUUGGAGAAAAUGACGGAACAGAUUCAGGAAGGGAACGAUACGAACUUAAAAAAAAUUGGUGAUUCCUCAGAAGUGGUUAAUAUUGAAGAAAGGCCUAUUAAAGCUGCUAUUAGAGAAAGGAAACAAACUUUUGAAGACUACUUAGAGGAACAGAUUCGAUUGGAAGAACUAGAACUGCAACAAAAACAGCUAAAGGAAGCAGAAGGAUCUUUGCUUAUCAAAGCAAAACCAAAACAACCAUUCUUAAAACGAGGAGAAGGUUUAGCCAGAUUUACUAAUGCUAAAUCUAAGUUUCAGAAGGGGAGAGAAAGUAACCUAGUCACUACUCAGAGCAUUUCAGAGGACCAGCCUGUGUUUAAAUCAGAUAAACAACAAUUCCAGCGGAAAACUGCUCUUAUAAAUAAAGAAAUCUGUACAGAGAACCUUCCUGUUAAAAAGAACAGUAAAGUCAGAACCAAGUGUCGUUCUCUCACACUCAGUCAGAAGCCAAAAGUGCUUAAGAGUAGUAGUAGGAAAAGUCUCUCUCCAUCAGGAUUGAAAAUGCCAGCAGAGAAGAAAUGUGAUGGGCAAUUUAGAGAGCAGAUCAGUUUAGGAAAAAAAGUGGAAUCUAAUAAUAAAGAAAAUGUACCUGAGUGUACAAAACCUUGUGGUGUUGGUUGCACAAUCUGGAAUAAGGCACACAAUAAAGACAGACUUCCCAUUUCCACAGGAUUCAUCAGCUGUAUGGCUUCUCAGAACCCAGCAAGUGAAACUUUGAAAGGGUCAGAAUCUUCUCUUGAUGAUUCUCUUCAGAAAAAGUUAGAGAAUUGGGAACGAGAAAAGGAAAAGGAAAAUUUGGAAUUAGAUGAAUUUUUGUUUUUAGAAAAAGCUGCUGAUGAAAUAUCAUUCUCUAGUAACUCCUCAUUUGUACUGAAGAUCUUAGAGAGGGAUCAGCAGAACUGCAGAGGUCGCCGGCUGUCUUCUACCCCUGUCAAAGGUGUGCGGGAAGAGAAGACAGCAACACCAAGUUCUGUUAGUCUGUAUAACCAAAAUGAGGAUCCGGACCGUGCCCAGUGUGGAAGCAAGGCUGAGUGCGAGGUUGCUCCCAGACAGCUUGAUUCAGUGUUCUCACCCGGAGGAUUGUGGGCGCCGUCCUGUGAAGUCAGGAGGAGAGUGUACCAAACGAAUCCUCCUGAAAGGCAGACCAGGUGGAGUGCAGGUGAUGGUGAAGGUGUUACAGACAGUGAUCAUAGCACCGAUUUGGAGGAACAGCUUGACGUCACUAUAAAGCCAUCAUCUGAGGGUAAGGAAAGGAGUUCCAGCAGCAGAGAAGAUAGUCCGCAAGUCUGUGAUGGUAAGGGACCUUUUCGGGACACCACGACUCAAGAGGAAGAGAAAAGGAGAGAUGUUGAUUUAGAUUUGUCUGAUAAGGAUUAUAGCAGUGAUGAUUCUCUCAUUAUAGAAAGCUUGAAAAAUAAAGUUUCUGAUUCCUCCGGAAGACACUCAUCUAUAAGUGUGAAUAAAAUUGACUUUGAUGAUGAAAGAACUUGGACUGACCUUGAAGAUAAUUCAUUUAAACAUGACGGUGUUCUUGGGAAUGAAGCCAUUUAUGGGACUCCCCAGACAACCUGCCCUAGCAAGAGUGAAAUGUGUGUACUGGACAAAACGAUAAAAAGGAAGGUUGUGCCAGUCAAGAAGGGAGAAGACUUGGGCAAAUCCAGCAGGGGCCCAAGCCCUCCUCCUACCUCAGAUCUGAUGAUGGAAUUCUUUCCUUCUCUGAAAUCGAAGUCAAAGUCACACUCAAAGUCACACUCAUGCUUGGGAAAGGAUCCCAAGUUAAACACAAGUCAAGACCACCCACCUGGUGGCAAUGCUCGAUCUCAAGUUUUGAGAGAGAAAAUUAUUGAAUUGGAAACAGAAAUAGAAAAAUUUAAAGCUGAGAACGCAUCUUUAGCUAAACUUCGCAUUGAACGAGAAAGUGCCUUGGAAAAACUCAGGAAAGAAAUUGCUAACUUUGAACAACAGAAAGCAAAAGAAUUGGCUCGAAUAGAGGAGUUUAAAAAGGAGGAAAUGAGGAAGUUACAAAAGGAACGCAAAGUUUUUGAAAAGUAUUCUACAGUUGCGAGAACUUUUCCAGAUAAAAGGGAACGUGAAGAAAUACAAGCUUUGAAGCGGCAGGUAUCUGAUUUACAGGAAGAUCUGAAAAGAAAGGAAGCAAAGUGGUCUAGUACACAUGGCCGUCUUAGAAGCCAGAUAGAAAUGUUGGUCAGAGAGAACACAGACCUCCGGGAGGAAAUAAAAGUGAUGGAAAGGUUCCGACUGGAAGCCUGGAAGAAAGCAGAAGCCACAGAGAGCAGCGCCAGGAUGGGUCAGUGUGUGACCUCCUCAAAGAAAGAUGGGUUCUUGAAUUCAUCAAUUCGAUUUCAAAAGAGUCAGAUUUCUUCAGGAACCCAGGUAGAAAAGUACAAAAAAAAUCAUUUGCCAACACAAGGCAAUCCAUCUCAAAGAUCCAAGUCUGAGCCUCGUGAUUUAGGCAGCUUGGAGAAGGGACAGAUGGCCUCACCCAGGGAGCUGCCUGAACCAGUGAACUUUCCAGAUCCUGACUAUAAAGAAGAAGAUGAAAAAGAGGAAAUUGAGGGAGAAAUCAGCCAUCCUGAUGGAAAGAUAGAGAAGGUUUAUAAGAAUGGGUGCCAUGUUGUGUUGUUUCCAAAUGGAACGCGAAAGGAAGUGAGUGCAGAUGGGGAGACCGUCACUGUCACUUUCUUCAACGGUGACAUCAAGCAGGUCAUGCCAGACGGGAGAGUGAUCUACUACUAUGCAGCCACGCAGACUGCCCACACCACAUUCCCAGAAGGGCUGGAAGUUCUACAUUUCUCUAAUGGCCAAAUAGAAAAACAUUUCCCAGAUGGAAGAAAAGAAAUCACAUUUCCUGACCAGACUAUCAAAAACUUGUUUGCUGAUGGACAAGAAGAGAGCAUUUUCCCAGAUGGUACAGUUGUCAGAGUACAACGAGAUGGCAACAAAAUCAUAGAGUUUAAUAAUGGCCAAAGAGAACUACAUACAGCCCAGUUCAAGAGACGGGAGUAUCCAGACGGCACUGUGAAAACUGUGUACACAAACGGGCAUCAGGAGACCAAGUACACAUCUGGUCGAGUAAGAAUGAAAGACAAGGACGGUAAUGUUCUCAUGGACACAAAACUGUCAUGA